CGAGGACUCCUCAGACAGCCCUGACUCUGAGGAGACCCCCAGAGCAUCUUCUCCCCACCAGGCUGGCCUGGGCCUCUCACUGACACCUUCCCCUGAGUCCCCACCUCUGCCGGAUGUUAGUGCCUUCUCCAGGGGCACAGGUGGGGGUGAAGGCCGAGGAUCCGCAUCCAGCGGGGGAGCAGCUGCGGGCGCUGGGGUUGGAGGCUUGUCUGGACCGGAGAGUGUUUCCUUUGAGCUCUGCUCCAACCCUGGUGUUCUUCUUCCUCCACCUGCCUUAAAAGGGGCUGUUCCUCUUUACAACCCAUCUCAGGUGCCUCAGGUA
rnacentral:lncRNA from 1 species